rnacentral:rRNA from 1 species
AAACCAGCACCUCAAGUGGUCAGGAUGAUUAUUGGGCCUAAAGCAUCCGUAGCCGGCUCUGUAAGUUUUCGGUUAAAUCUGUAUGCUCAACAUACAGGCCGCCGGGAAUACUGCAGAGCUAGGGAGUGGGAGAGGUAGACGGUACUCGGGAGGAAGUGGUAGAAUGCUUUGAUCUCUCGAUGACCACCUGUGGCGAAGGCGGUCUACCAGAACACGUCCGACGGUGAGGGAUGAAAGCUGGGGGAGCAAACCGGAUUAGAAACCCGAGUAGUCC